rnacentral:lncRNA from 1 species
UUCACGAUGAUUAAAUUUCACGUAUUGUCAUAUACGUCAAAUUGAAGUUAUAAAUUCCAAAUCCCAUUGCCAAGCCUUAUCAGUAUGAAGAAGAAGAAGUUAUAAAUUUAAGUAAUAAAAAUUUAAGUGAUAAAAUCGUGCAAAAAUCGUUUUAAAUUAGGGGUUAUUCUUAAAACUUAAUUGAUUUAUGGUUUGUUUAAAGGCGGUAGUUAAAGUGGCUCGGAUCGGCGCCUUCUAGCUGAGUAAAAGAAGGAGGAGGAGGAGGAGGAUGCGAAGAGGUUAUGUUAUGCGCGCGGAGGAUGUCGUUUUUUCCUGGAAGAACCCGAUCGGACUUCUGAGAACGAAAACCAUGUACAAGACUAACACAACACCUGCCCUCUUAGAAGUAGUAUGUGUACCGAGAAGUGAGGCCCCCGGGAGAACGGAGCAGGUAGAGAAGAAAAGUGGCCGAGCAAAAGUUAAAGAAGAAAGAAGGAGGAGGAGUAAGGUGGAGAAUAAAGAAGGAGAAACCGAACGCGCAACAACAACCACUGCAGAAACCCGACGAAUAUGGUGGGUUCUGGUUGAGGAGAACGUUGAGCCGCAUAAAAAAUCUAGUUUUCUCGGAAGGAACCAAGACCAACGACGAAUGGUGUUCUCCGGGUUCAGUUCUUUGUAUUCGUGUGUGUGGACACCCUUCUAGGAAAAACGAUCCUCAUGAACUCACACGGAAACUUUAAUAUAUCAUUACUAUCCGUUUGUUAAAAAUUUUAAAUUUUUUUUCGAAAAACGAUUCAUGUUUGACCUCUUUUUUAGGUUAUCGGAGUUUAUGAUUUGCGUAAAACGGAAUUGGGAAAGCUUUUAUCUAUCUAACGCUUGUGAAUUAAAUUUAAACAAUUUGAGUGUGCAUAUUUAUUGUUUGCGAAACGUAAUAUGGUUCGUUGCUUGUUUAAAUUUGAUAAAAGAAAUGAGAUAGAACUCAAAAGGAAAAUUUUAACGAGAAAAAAUUAGUUAUGAAUAAUAUUGAGUCAUCAAAGAAGUUGGAGCAAAUAAUGUCAGAAGUAAAGAACUUAAAAACCUCCUUACCUUCGAAAAAAUCCUAGAACGACUCAUUCACGAUACAGUAGCUCAUAACACGCAACUUCAAUACUAAUAAAGCAACAUCAAAUGAUUAUAUGUGAAUUAUA